UUCAGGCCCAAACUAUGUCUGGUAAAAAUAAAACAACAUUUAAGAGGAAGUUCAUUUCUUUAGAAGUAAAAAUACAAAUUUUUGAUCGCCUUUUAAAAGGAGAGAAAGCAUGGCGCAUUGGAAAAAAUCUAAACUUAAGCAACAGUCCGAAACAUACAAAAAAUAAAAUUAGAAGCGCUGUGGCUGCAGGAUCUUCGAAAUCCGCAAAAGUGGCAGUUCGACCCCGUGCGUCAAUAAUUGAGAAAAUGGAAAAUGCACUCAACAUUUGAAUUGAUGAUAGCUGUCAAAAAAGAAUCCCAUUGAAAAGCAAUAUAAUUAAACAAAAAGCUCC
rnacentral:lncRNA from 1 species